ACCGGGAAUGGAAAGCUGGUUGUCUUGAAAAACCCUGAAGCUGUGUUGCAACUCUUGUUCUUUACUUGUCAAUUAAGCAAGGAAGAUGAAUGGGGAACAAUCGCCAGUAAAUGCUUGAACCAGCAUUUGGGAUACAAAAAGGAACUUGAAGACAGCUUGGACAUGCAGAGUGUGACUUAUGACGAUCACUUAGAAACGGUCGCCUUAGCCUCAGAUGGUAUCUUUGAUGACCUUGGCCUGGUAAGUACUUUUUUCCCGAUAUCCAUUUGUACUUGAAAAUAAAAAUUAAAUGGUUAUCACAUGGGCCCUAUGUUUUAUUGCUUGGGGUCUUUAACAUGGUCUGAUAUUUUUCUUGUAACAUUGCAGAGUGCAAGAGCUAGACAAUGCCUUCGUGCAGCGGGAGUAUUCGAGGAGCAAAAACAAAAAAACAAGGGCAAAUUUGAUUCAAAAAAGGAAGAAAUGAAGAUAGAAAUGAAAAAACUGCAAGACUACCGAGACUAUUACGAGCACAAUGAGGGAUACUACGACGCGUUCAAGCUUCAAAAGAACAAAAAUGAUUUCGAAGCAAAUGUGACAAGGCUUGUGCUUGCAGCCAUAUGGGAUGAGAUUACCGAAAUGCUGAAAAAAUAUGAUCU
rnacentral:lncRNA from 1 species